AGGUUAUGUUAUUUUUAAUUUUCAGAGGUUAUAAUUUUUUAAAUAUUGUUAUAUUAUGUUUGAAUAAAAUUAAGUAUAACUCGGCUUUAUAAACGAAUAGUAAUGAAUCGUUUAAGAUUCUAUACGUUCUCGCAAGUAAGGCAUUAUUGUAUAGCAAAAGAGUCGACGAAAAACUUGUUAAAUCAGAAGCAGCUCGUUCCAAAGAAUCCUGUCUCUUCCAAAAUUGAUCCUACAAAAUUACCCGAAAAGACUCGAAUUGAUGCGGACACUAUCGCACUUUUAGAACGGUUGUCUUUGGUAGAUUGUGCUAAUAAAGAAGGAAUUGCUACUUUGGAAGCUGCUAUAGAAUUUGCUGAUCAGAUUCAACAAGUCGAUACUACGGGGGUUGAUCCUUUAGUUACAGUUCUAGAAGACGUUCAUCUAAGAUUAAGAGAAGAUAUAGUUGCCCAAGACAGCACAAAGGCUGAUGUUCUGAGGAACGCUGCCCUAACAGAGGAAGAAUAUUUUGUGGCACCUCCAGGAAAUAUUGCACUGGAACCUAGAGAGGAUCUUCUUUACGAAAAAGAUCAGAAAAAUGUUUAAUUCUAUUAUAAAUUUAUCGGAAAAGCAUGGUUUUGUAAAAAAACUAGUUUUUCCCACAUUAAAUUUUUUUCAAUUAAAAAUCGGACCUGUUGGAAACUUAUUGAUGCACAAUCUAAGAAACGAAUGGUAUAACAAUAUUGUUAUUAACAAUGAUAUAAGUAUGUUCCUGGAUGAGGAGUUUGAAUCGACUUUUCAGUUUGGUAGAAAAUUAUGUCUUGAAAAACUACCUUUUGGUAUAUGUCAGAAUAUUGUAAUAAACAAUAAGAGGUCACAGACUGUAGAUGAAUUAAUGGAGACCUAUAAGGAAUCAGAUAAAAUCAAUUUUGAAAAAAUGUUUGAUGAUAACGAUAAAGUAUUAUUAAAAAGCACAGUUUUUGUGUCGAGUAACGAAUCUCAGAGUUUCUUUUAUAAAUGGCAAAGACAUAGAAGAAUGUGGUGGAGAAAGUUUUCUCCAAACCCCGGAAGAUAUUCACUCUCCGACAUAAAAACCAACAGUAAUAACAUCCAAACUGUUGAAAUUGUUGCAAAAUACCCUUGGCAAGACGAAAUAGUAGAAACAUUAACUCUAUAUCCAUCUUGUAAUAAUUUAACCAUCAAAGAUCAACAGUUUAAAGAAGGUAAAAAGACAAUUCAAGCUCAUAACGUUGUUAGUGAAGUUAGUUUAACCAGUUUAUUUCUUAAUACCAUUUGCGAUGCUUACGACCAAUCAGCAUAUAAGGGAAUUUCAAGAACUUUAUUAAGGUUUCACAGGAAAUUAGCUCCAUACAGGAUAAGUUUUGCCAUUUCCACGUCAACAUAUUCUCUUAUACCUGAACUGAGUGACCUGGCUCUAUAUUUGACAAAACAAUUAAGAGCAAAUCAAGUUUCAACGCUUUAUAUACCGAGCAGUUCAAAAUUGUCUCUAGAGGCUCAAUGGAGGCAGUACGAUGAAAUGGGAAUCCCAUACAAUAUUAUUUUGAACGAAAAUACUUUGAAAAAUGGCAUUUGUUUGAUGAGAAGUAGAGACACAACUUUGAAGGAGCAGGUACAUGUGGCAGAUAUAACCAAAUAUGUAGAACAGUUAUUUAAGAGUUAUUGAAUGGUAGUUUAUUUGUAGGAAUAUUUUUAUAAGUAAAAAAUGUUGUUAAUUU